GACGAACGCUGGCGGCGUGCUUAACACAUGCAAGUCGAGCGGUAAGGCCCUUUCGGGGGUACACGAGCGGCGAACGGGUGAGUAACACGUGGGUGACCUGCCCUCAGCUCUGGGAUAAGCCUGGGAAACCGGGUCUAAUACCGGAUAUGACUCCAUGACGCAUGUUGUGGGGUGGAAAGCCUUGUGCGGCUGAGGAUGGGCCCGCGGCCUAUCAGCUUGUUGGUGGGGUGAUGGCCUACCAAGGCGACGACGGGUAGCCGGCCUGAGAGGGCGACCGGCCACACUGGGACUGAGACACGGCCCAGACUCCUACGGGAGGCAGCAGUGGGGAAUCUUGCGCAAUGGGCGAAAGCCUGACGCAGCGGCGCCGCGUGAGGGAUGACGGCCUGGUGUAA
rnacentral:rRNA from 1 species